CGGAUCUUUUAUGACGUAGGACCGCUCAUGCACAUGUGUAAACGUAAACAAGGAGCUGGGCAAUUUCUAGGAAGUGUAAAUCUAUAACAUCUUCAGUGUUACUGUCCAGUCAUAGGUUAAUAAUAUUUUGUAUUUAUUAAAAAAGGAGCUUGUGUGUAAAUAUUAUAAAAAUGGCGUCAUCGGAGAUUCAACAUGACAGCGACGACGGCAUGGAGGAGCUGAUGGACAAAUUUAAGAGUCAGAGGUAUAAAAAUGCUUUCAGCGAGAAGAACUGGGAAGACGAGUUUAAUAAAGUCCCCAUGUUCAUGAAAACUGCCCCUGAAGAGAUUGACCCUCAACAAUACCCUGAACUAGCCUGUCUUCAGGCCAUCAUCCACGAUGAAGACAGACCCCCAGCUGAGCAAGCAGAGAGCAUGAAAGAUGAGGGAAACGAGUUUUUCAAAGAGAAGAACUACGCAAAGGCGAUCCUGUCCUACACGGCGGGUUUGAAGAAGAAAAGUGGAGAUCAGGAGCUCGACACAGUUCUCCUCACCAACCGGGCAGCAGCACACUUCUACCUGGGUAACAUGCGAUCUGCAUUCAAUGAUGCUGCAGCUGCCAAGAAGAUCAAACCAGAUCAUCUUAAAGCCUUGAUCAGAGGUGUUCAGUGUUGUAUCAAGCUGCGAAACUUUGCAGAGGCGCUCCAGUGGUGUGAUGAAGGGCUUAAGGCCCAUCCCACAGACAAGAAGCUUCUGGAGCUGAGAGCAGAAGCAGAUAAACACAAGAGAGCAGCAGAAAGAGAUGCCAGGAAGGCCAAGGCCAAACAAAAGAAGUUGCACGGUGUGAAAGAAACUCUCCUGGCUGCUAUAAAGGAUCGUGGCAUUAAGCUCCUGCAGCCUGUGAAGCCUCGUCAGCGUGCUUCAGACAGUGAGGAUGAGGACGAAGGCUCCUCUGCAGCGAUAGCACAGCUCAGUGUGGACGGCCUCAGCUCUCAGGAGGUGACGGGGGCUCAGGUGUUCCUGGAUGAGAAGGGCUCCCUGCACUGGCCCGUUCUCUUCCUCUAUCCAGAACACCAGCAGAGUGACUUCAUCUCUGCCUUCUGUGAGAACAGCUGUUUUAUGGAUCACAUCGAGGUCAUGUUUGGAGAGGAACUUCCACCAUGGGAUGCGGACAGAAAAUACCACCCGCAAAACCUUCAGCUGUACUUUGAAGAUGGAAAGACGGAGACACUCUACCAAGUCAACCCACAGACGUCGCUUUUGAAAGUGCUGCAGCAUAAAAGGUUUUUUGUCAAAGGAGGAACUCCGAGCUUCAUCGUUCUGGUGAACGGCUCGUCUUUCACCAAACAGUUUUUAACAGGAAAGAAAACACAAGAACUGUAAAGACACAGGUCUCCCAAAAUCCUGAACUUUGGACACACCAGAGGACUAACUUUGUUCAAGGCAAGCAGACACCGGCAAGGCAAGCGUGUAUGUCUGUCUUUGCCGAGAGCAGUGCGUGCUGUUCUACAUUAAAUAUAAAUGUAAAUGGUUACAACGUGGACCAUCGUGGAUUUGUUGUUUUUUAUUGACAAAAAAGUAAUUCCAGAUUUAAAACAGAAGGAUUUUUUUUAUUGAAGUGCUUAAUCAGAGAAACUGAAAUGACCAGAAAUCAAUUAAAGAGA